GAAACUGCUGCUAAUACCCAAUGUGCCUAGCGGUGAAAGAUUUAUCGCCAGAAGAUGAGCUCGCGUCCGAUUAGUUAGUUGGUAGAGUAAAAGCCUACCAAGGCGGCGAUCGGUAGCUGGUCUGAGAGGAUGAGCAGCCACACUGGGACUGAGACACGGCCCAGACUCCUACGGGAGGCAGCAGUGGGGAAUUUUCCGCAAUGGGCGCAAGCCUGACGGAGCAAGACCGCGUGGGGGAGGAAGGCUCUUGGGUUGUAAACCCCUUUUCUCAAGGAAGAACAAAAUGACGGUACUUGAGGAAUCAGCCUCGGCUAACUCCGUGCCAGCAGCCGCGGUAAUACGGAGGAGGCAAGCGUUAUCCGGAAUUAUUGGGCGUAAAGGGUCCGCAGGUGGUAGUGCAAGUCGGCGGUUAAAGACUGGGGCUUAACUCCAGAAAGGCCGUGGAAACUGCACAACUAGAGAGCGGUAGGGGUAGAGGGAAUUCCCGGUGUAGCGGUGAAAUGCGUAGAGAUCGGGAAGAACACCAGUGGCGAAGGCGCUCUACUGGACCGCUUCUGACACUCAGGGACGAAAGCUAGGGGAGCGAAAGGGAUUAGAUACCCCUGUAGUCCUAGCCGUAAACGAUGGA
rnacentral:rRNA from 2 species